AUACGUAGGGGGCGAGCGUUGUCCGGAAUGAUUGGGCGUAAAGGGCGCGUAGGCGGCCCGGUAAGUCUGGAGUGAAAGUCCUGUUUUUAAGAUGGGAAUUGCUUUGGAUACUGUCGGGCUUGAGUGCUGGAGAGGUAAGUGGAAUUCCAAGUGUAGGGGUGAAAUGCGUAGAGAUUGGGAGGAAUACCAGUGGCGAAGGCGACUUACUGGGCUGUAACUGACGCUGAGGCGCGAAAGUGUGGGGAGCAAACAGGAUUAGAUACCCUGGUAGUCCACACUGUAAACGAUGAAUGCUAGGUGUAGGGGGUAUCGACCCCUUCUGUGCCGCAGUCAACACAAUAAGCAUUCCGCCUGGGGAGUACGGCCGCAAGGUUGAAACUCAAAUGAAUGGGCGGGG
rnacentral:rRNA from 1 species